AGAUGGCAGAAUAUGUGGUCCUACUUUACCACCAUGGAGGUAAUUUUAUGAGGGACUUAGAAGGAAAUUUCCAAUACGUUAAUGGAAUGGUAGAAGUCAUUGAUCCCAUUGAUGUUGAUUAUCUCAACGUAAGGACAUGAAGGCGUUGUUCCACAAUCUUGGGUACCAUGAUUACGAGAUGAUGUAUUGGAAGCAUCCUAACGAUUCGUACCUGGAAACUGGAUUAGAUACGCUAACAGGAGAAAAGGACGUUAACAAAAUGGUGGAUACAUUGCUCAAUUUUGGAAGGAAGAAUGCUAAUGGGUACUACGAAAUGGACAUUUACUUUAAACAUCAUAUUUUUUACAGUGAAGAUGAAUUUGUGAAUGAAGAUGAAUUUGUGAGCAAAGAUGAAUUUGUGAGCGGGCAGCCUGAUGCACCUGAAAUGCCCCCUCGGUUUGAGAAUUUUGAGGCGGGUAGCUGCAACAAUG
rnacentral:lncRNA from 1 species